rnacentral:rRNA from 1 species
UACGUAGGGUGCAAGCGUUGUCCGGAAUUAUUGGGCGUAAAGAGCUCGUAGGCGGUCUGUCGCGUCGGCUGUGAAAACCCGGGGCUCAACCCCGGGCCUGCAGUCGAUACGGGCAGACUAGAGUGCGGUAGGGGAGACUGGAAUUCCUGGUGUAGCGGUGAAAUGCGCAGAUAUCAGGAGGAACACCGGUGGCGAAGGCGGUUCUCUGGGCAUUACCUGACGCUGAGGAGCGAAAGUGUGGGGAGCGAACAGG